UGCGUAGGCGGAUUGAUCAGUCAGUGGUGAAAACCUUCAGCUUAACUGGAGACUUGCCAUUGAUACUGUUAGUCUUGAGUACGGUCAAGGUAGGCGGAAUGUGUAAUGUAGCGGUGAAAUGCUUAGAUAUUACACAGAACACCGAUUGCGAAGGCAGCUUACUGGGCCAUUACUGACGCUGAGGCACGAAAGCGUGGGGAGCGAACAGGAUUAGAUACCCUGGUAGUCC
rnacentral:rRNA from 1 species